rnacentral:rRNA from 1 species
AAUAUUUUAUUAUGGGGGCAACCCUGAUCCAGCCAUGCCUCGUGUGUGAAGAAGGUCUUCGGAUUGUAAAGCACUGUAAGUUGGGAGGAAGGGCUUUAGGUUAAUACCCUGAAGUUUUGACGUUACCAACAGAAUAAGCACGGGCUAAGUCUGCGCCGGCAGCCGCGGUAAUACAGAGGUUGCAAGCGUUAAUCGGAAUUACUGGGCGUAAAGCGCGCGUAGGUGGUUCAGUAAGAUGGCUGUGAAAUCCCCGGGCUUAACCUGGGAACUGCUUUCAUAACUGCUGAGCUAGAGUACAGUAGAGGGUAGUGGAAGUUCCUGUGUAGCAGUGAAAUGCGUAGAUAUAGGAAGGAACACCAGUGGCGAAGGCGACUACCUGGACUGAUACUGACAAUGAGGUGCGAAAGCGUGGGGAGCAAAC